UACGUAGGGGGCAAGCGUUGUCCGGAUUUAUUGGGCGUAAAGAGCGUGUAGGCGGCCAGGUAGGUCCGUUGUGAAAACUCGAGGCUCAACCUCGAGACGUCGAUGGAAACCAUCUGGCUAGAGUCCGGAAGAGGAGAGUGGAAUUCCUGGUGUAGCGGUGAAAUGCGCAGAUAUCAGGAAGAACACCCGUGGCGAAGGCGGCUCUCUGGGACGGUACUGACGCUGAGACGCGAAAGCGUGGGGAGCGAAUGGG
rnacentral:rRNA from 1 species